rnacentral:misc_RNA from 1 species
AAAGUCGUAACAAGGUAUCCGUAGGUGAACCUGCGGAUGGAUCAUUAACGAUACGUGUUGUUUUCACAAACACACGUUCCUACCAACCAAACCUGUGCGAGGAGAGACGACCAUGCGAGUCAAACCGUGUGAGAGUCGCUCCGUUUCUUUCUAUUUCUUUUUCUUUACAAACCUUAAAACCCCAAUUCUUCGUUUUCGAAGGACUGAAACCACACUGUUUCAAAUCGAAAGUAAGCGUCGAUGUUGAUCGUUUCGUCUCUAUUAGACCUGUUACACAGGUCGAACGGACGUGUUUCAACCCGACUCUUCGAUUAGAUAUGAAAUCCUGUACAACUCUUAGCAACGGAUAUCUUGGUUCUC